AUUGAACGCUGGCGGCAGGCUUAACACAUGCAAGUCGAACGAGUGGCGGACGGGUGAGUAAUGCUUGGGAAUCUAGCUUAUGGAGGGGGAUAACUACGGGAAACUGUAGCUAAUACCGCGUACCAUAGGAUUAGCCCAAGUUGGCUUAGGUAGUUGGUGAGGGAAAGGAUCACCAAUCCGACGAUCUCUCGCUGGUCUGAGAGGAUGACCAGCCACACGGGGACUGAGACACGGCCCAGACUCCUACGGGAGGCAGCAGUGGGGAAUAUUGCGCAAUGGGGGCAACCCUGAGGCAGCCAUGCCGCGUGUAUGAAGAAGGCCGUAGGGUUGUAAAGUACUGUCAGCGGGGAGGCGUUACCCGCAGAAGAAGCACCGGCUAACUCCGUGCCAGCAGCCGCGGUAAUUC
rnacentral:rRNA from 1 species